AUCUCUUCUUGGCCUUUUGGUGAAGACCGAGGAUAGUAUGUAUUUGUAUUAGUGUAUUAUCUGAUACACCCUGUACUCAAGGACAUUAUACUAAAUGGAUUUUUGGAUCCGGGAGACAGAAUUAGGGGCUUGCUCAGUCCACUCUGCGCACCGAGCGGGUAUUGCAGUACCUCCAGGAACAGUGCAAGAGAA